UACGUAGGGUGCAAGCGUUAAUCGGAAUUACUGGGCGUAAAGCGUGCGCAGGCGGUUUUGUAAGUCAGACGUGAAAGCCCCGGGCUUAACCUGGGAAUUGCGUUGGAGACUGCAAGGCUUGAAUAUGGCAGAGGGGGGUAGAAUUCCACGUGUAGCAGUGAAAUGCGUAGAGAUGUGGAGGAACACCGAUGGCGAAGGCAGCCCCCUGGGUCAAGAUUGACGCUCAUGCACGAAAGCGUGGGGAGCAAACAGG
rnacentral:rRNA from 1 species